AGAGUGUAGCUAAAUAGUAAAGCCUCUCUCUUAC
rnacentral:tRNA from 1 species